rnacentral:rRNA from 1 species
AUUGAACGCUGGCGGCAGGCCUAACACAUGCAAGUCGAACGAGUGGCGGACGGGUGAGUAGUGUCUGGGAAACUGCCUGAUGGAGGGGGAUAACUACUGGAAACGGUAGCUAAUACCGCAUCCCAUCGGAUGUGCCCAGAUGGGAUUAGCUAGUAGGUGGGGUAAAGGCUCACCUAGGCGACGAUCCCUAGCUGGUCUGAGAGGAUGACCAGCCACACUGGAACUGAGACACGGUCCAGACUCCUACGGGAGGCAGCAGGGGGGAAUAUUGCACAAGGGGCGAAAGCCUGAUGCAGCCAUGCCGCGUGAGUGAAGAGGGCCUUUGGGUUGUAAAGCACUUUCAGCGGGGAGGCGUUACCCGAAGAAGAAGCACCGGCUAACUCCGGGCCAGCAGCCGCGGUAAUUC